UACGGAGGGUGCAAGCGUUAUCCGGAUUUACUGGGGUUAAAGGGUGCGUAGGUGGGUCUGUAAGUCAGUGGUGAAAUCUCCGGGCUUAACUCGGAAACUGCCAUUGAUACUAUAGGUCUUGAAUUAUCUGGAGGUGAGCGGAAUAUGUCAUGUAGCGGUGAAAUGCUUAGAUAUGACAUAGAACACCAAUUGCGAAGGCAGCUCACUACGGAUAUAUUGACACUGAGGCACGAAAGCGUGGGGAUCAAACAGG
rnacentral:rRNA from 1 species